CCCGGCUGCUGCGCGCCCUUGCCCUGCGGGGAGUGGCUUUCAAGUUUCCUCGCCGCUUUGCCGCACUUCCUCUUCCAGGCUCUCAUUUGAAGUAGUGUUUUGGUGGCUUAAGAGCCGUGGGUGUCGUUAGAGCGGCGGGGACGAAGCCGGGCGGGCUCCCUGCGGUGGCAGGUGAGGUGUGAAGGGCUGGGCUGCGCACAGGAAUUUGUGGAGCAUAAGAGGAGAGAGCACGGAAUGACAGCAUGCCCCGAGUCGGAAGGGAACCGUGCGGAUCGUGGAUUCCAACUCCCGGCUCUGCACGAGACCCUCCAGAAGUGAGGCCGUGUAUCUGAGUGCCGCAGAUGAUUAUUAACUCGGUCAGCUCAGUGCCACGAGCAGAAGAGAGCCUGUUCCACACCCACCACCCUCUGCUGCAGAGCCUUUUCCUGAUAGCCAGCCUGAACGUCUUCUGCCCAAAGCGCACUUUUGUCAUCGUUUUCUAACUCAUCCUGGUGGGUGCCGGGGCGCUGCUGAGGGCUGACUGACCGUCACAAGGAUGCAGACAUCUCUGGAAAGCCGGGUCCCACCUGCGUGGUGUCCAGCUUCUUCCCCGAAGGCUUCACAUCAUACUCACAAGAGAGAAGACAGGCACUGGCGCUGAAGGAGGUGGCAGCGCAGGGUGAGGAGCGGCACAGCAGCGGGGAAGGAUGUGGCCGAGGAGCAGAGCUGAGCAGCGGGCAGGAGGAGAUGCCGCGAGCUUUGCAGGGCGCUCAGCUGUCUGCCCGGGAGGAGCGCCACCUCCUCCACGCGCUGCGGAGCCUGGAGAAGAGCUGCCCCAAGUCUCCUCGUGGUGGACGUGGCCUCCUUUCCUGCAGGAUCUUGAGUGUCUGAAGGGCCAGCGAGGAGACGGAUGGACUGGAGUCUUGCUGCAGUCCCUGAAGGCCUGAGAGAAAGAGAGGCUCUUUCAGUUUCAGCCCAGUCUUUCAGUUUCAGCCCAGCUCUUCCCUCCGGCGGGAGGGAGCAGGUGACAGGCACGUCGCCUGCCGGCUGCCCCGGCAUCCCACUGCCUGGCUCACCUUCGUAGAUGCGCUCUCUGUCGACCUGCUGCUGAUCCGUCACGUGCUGCCCUAAGAGCCCUAGGAACACACGGCCCCAUCAGCGACCCUGGCUGCUCCCCGGGUGCAGCUGGAGGGCCGGGGACAGGGGAAGCUCAGUCUCAUGGCUCACCAAUGAACCGCACGGCCUCCCGGCGCAGGGGCUCCUGCGGGCUCCGUAGAUACAGCAGGCUCUGGCCCACGUAGUCCUGCGCUGCUGCCUUCAUCCUCCUCUUGGCCAGCUGCAGAGGGAAGAGCGCGGGGUCAGCGCAGGGUGGUCGCAACCCUGUCCUGGGGUGUGGGAAUGUGCGUACCAGGCACUCGCCGAUCUGCCAGAACUGCGCCGUCUGCACCAGGUGCUCCAGCCGCCUCCAGCGCAGGAAUCGUGCGGCACCGAGGAGGGCUUUCUGGGAGGCCUGCCAAACAGCUGAGAUGGCACCGCAGCCCGAGCAGCAGCACAGCCUGCGUCCCCCGCAGCUCCUCCACAGGGAGGAUGCAGCAGCGGGGACUGAUGCUGCCGUGGGCUGCAAUGCUUGUGGAGUUUGGGGGGCACCGCGGGAGCAGCAUCGCCCUCCCCCAAAUGAACGCAAUCCCCACCUUGGCCACGCUCUCUUCCUCGUCGUGCAGGUGGAGAUACAGCAGGACCAGGUUCCUGUGCACCUCCUUCUGCAUCUUCCUCCUCUCUCGGUCCUCCACAAAGUUCAGCGUUUCUAGGAAGAGGUCCAUGGAGAGCUGCCGCACAGUGGUGGACUCCUGCAGAGGAGGAAGGAAGGAAGGAAGAAAGGACAGACGGACGUCAGUGUCAGCAGCUCCACGUCCAUGGCAAGCAGGGCCAUUGCCACCAAGGAAGUGGGGGCAGAAUCUCUGAGCUGAGAGGUGGCGGGCAGAUCUUGAGGAUGGCCCCAGAACUGCUCCAGAGCGUGCAAGCUCUGCCUUGCAGAAGGUCUGCCCAGGGGCACGCAGCGCCUGGAACUGCAGACCAGCCAGGAAGUCCCCUGGUGUGCUGUGACAUGGGGGAGCAGGGGCAGCAGGCAUGGGCACACAUGCCUAGUGUGCUGGACUCCCUAGCAUCCUUACAUCAUUAAAGAGCAUUGGGAGCUUGCUGGUCAGCUCCAGAGCCAUGAA